AGUGAACGCUGGCGGUAGGCCUAACACAUGCAAGUCGAACGGCAGCACAGUAAGAGCUUGCUCUUACGGGUGGCGAGUGGCGGACGGGUGAGGAAUACAUCGGAAUCUACUUUUUCGUGGGGGAUAACGUAGGGAAACUUACGCUAAUACCGCAUACGACCUACGGGUGAAAGCAGGGGAUCUUCUGACCUUGCGCGAUUGAAUGAGCCGAUGUCUGAUUAGCUAGUUGGCGGGGUAAAGGCCCACCAAGGCGACGAUCCGUAGCUGGUCUGAGAGGAUGAUCAGCCACACUGGAACUGAGACACGGUCCAGACUCCUACGGGAGGCAGCAGUGGGGAAUAUUGGACAAUGGGCGCAAGCCUGAUCCAGCCAUACCGCGUGGGUGAAGAAGGCCUUCGGGUUGUAAAGCCCUUUUGUUGGGAAAGAAAAGCAGCAGGUUAAUACCCCGCUGUUCGGACGGUACCCAAAGAAUAAGCACCGGCUAACUUCGU
rnacentral:rRNA from 1 species